rnacentral:rRNA from 1 species
GGAGGGUGCAAGCGUUGUUCGGAAUUAUUGGGCGUAAAGCGCGUGUAGGCGGCUUGGUAAGUCAGGUGUGAAAGCCCUUAGCUCAACUAAGGAAUGUCAUCUGAAACUGCCAGGCUUGAGUACGGGAGAGGAGAGUGGAAUUCCCGGUGUAGAGGUGAAAUUCGUAGAUAUCGGGAGGAACACCCGUGGCAAAGGCGACUCUCUGGACCGAUACUGACGCUGAGACGCGAAAGCGUGGGGAGCAAACAGGAUUAGAUACCCUGGUAGUCCACGCCGUAAACGAUGGGCACUAGGUGUAGAGGGUAUUGACCCCUUCUGUGCCGCAGCUAACGCAUUAAGUGCCCCCGCCUGGAAGUACGGCCGCAAGGCUA